GUCGGGAAUAUUGCGCAAUGGAGGAAACUCUGACGCAGUGACGCCGCGUAUAGGAAGAAGGUUUUCGGAUUGUAAACUAUUGUCGUUAGGGAAGAAAAGGACAGUACCUAAGGAGGAAGCCCCGGCUAACUAUGUGCCAGCAGCCGCGGUAAUACAUAGGGGGCAAGCGUUAUCCGGAAUUAUUGGGUGUAAAGGGUGCGUAGACGGGAGAGCAAGUUAGUUGUGAAACCCCUCGGCUUAACUGAGGACCUGCAACUAAAACUACUCAUCUUGAGUACUGGAGAGGAAAGUGGAAUUCCUAGUGUAGCGGUGAAAUGCGUAGAUAUUAGGAGGAACACCAGUGGCGAAGGCGACUUUCUGGACAGAAACUGACGUUGAGGCACGAAAGUGUGGGGAGCAAACAGG
rnacentral:rRNA from 1 species